UUAGGAUCUAGACCUGGCAUAUCUUCAUACGACCAUGCAAAAAUAUCCGGGUAUUCUCGGAGGAGCUGGAUGAUCUUCCUUUUAACCCCUUCCUCUAGAGCAGCACCGACCUUGAUCUCUCGCUUGUUCUCCUCGGUACCUAUGUUGAUAAGCUCAAUCUCUUCCUGG
rfam:Medicago truncatula strain A17 chromosome 3, whole genome shotgun sequence.